rnacentral:lncRNA from 1 species
CUCUAGAUCCCGACCCUGACGCAGCCUGGGGAAGCCUACAAAGCCCCUCUCAAAAUAUUUUUAGAUGAAUAAAAUAACAAGAUUAGGAAGGAAGGCUACUAUGCCGGGCGUGGUGGAGCACAUCUGAGGGCCCAGCUACUCGGGAGCUGAGGCAGGAGGAUCCCUUAAGCCUGGGAAGUCAAGGCUGCAGUGAGCCGAGAUGGGUGCCACUUCACUCCAGCCUAGGCGACAGAGUGAGACUUGCAGAAGGAAAGAGAGAAAAGAAAUACAGUAACAGUUAAUAAAAUUCUUAACACAC